ACCUUCUCAUGAGCUCCUGACAAUCUUGCCAUGAUUGUGUAUGGAUUCGCACGAGAAGCAGAGCCAGUGCACAGUUUGAACAGCCUCACCGCAGUCCCAUGAGGUUACUGGCCAUGUCUGCUGUGCUAAAAGU
rnacentral:snoRNA from 1 species